GGUAGAGUCGCGAACUGUGCGUUGGGUAUUCGGCUUUGAAGGCAAAUAAUUCCGGAUAUUGAUUGCAAUGGGCAUCAACAGCAAAAAAGUGUUACUUGCAUUGGGUCUGGGUGCCUUCACAGGCAUUGCUCUUUAUUUGCUGUACAAAAAGAACGAAGACGACGACGACCUGGAGAACUUCAGUGAAACGUCCACCUCACGACAUACGCUUAUCGAAAUGAAAA